rnacentral:rRNA from 1 species
UACGAAGGGGGCUAGCGUUGUUCGGAAUUACUGGGCGUAAAGCGCACGUAGGCGGAUACUUAAGUCAGGGGUGAAAUCCCGGGGCUCAACCCCGGAACUGCCUUUGAUACUGGGUAUCUCGAGUCCGGAAGAGGUGAGUGGAAUUCCGAGUGUAGAGGUGAAAUGCGCAGAUAUCAGGAAGAACACCCGUGGCUAAGGCGGCUCUCUAGUACGGUACUGACGCUGAGACGCGAAAGCGUGGGGAGCGAACAGG